rnacentral:rRNA from 1 species
CCUACGGGAGGCAGCAGUGGGGAAUAAUGGACAAUGGGCGAAAGCCUGAUCCAGCAAUGCCGCGUGUGUGAAGAAGGUCUUCGGAUUGUAAAGCACUUUCGACGGGGACGAUGAUGGCGGUACCCGUAGAAGAAGCCCCGGCUAACUUCGUGCCAGCAGCCGCGGUAAUACGAAGGGGGCUAGCGUUGCUCGGAAUGACUGGGCGUAAAGGGCGCGUAGGCGGUUUAUGCAGUCAGAUGUGAAAUCCCCGGGCUUAACCUGGGAACUGCAUUUGAGACGCAUAGACUAGAGGUCGAGAGAGGGUUGUGGAAUUCCCAGUGUAGAGGUGAAAUUCGUAGAUAUUGGGAAGAACACCGGUGGCGAAGGCGGCCCCCUGGACGAAGACUGACGCUCAGGUGCGAAAGCGUGGGGAGCAAACAGGAUUAGAUACCCCGGUAGUC